GCGAAGGCAGGAGAGGGGAACCGGGUCUGCGCCUCAGCGAGGCUUAAAGUUUCUUGCCGGAGUCGCCCGGCCGCUUCUCGGUGCGCCAAGUAACGGUCCGCGGGCAGCGGGGCCCGGCCCAUCGCGCCCAGACCCCGGGGUGGGAGGGAGUCGGCCGGCCCCGCGCGGGGUCCGGUGGGGUCGAUGAUGGCUCGGGGACGGAUGACUCCUCUCCAGCAGGCUCUGCCCCCAGGCCGGGGACUGAAGGAGUCGCAGGGCGCAGCGAGACUUUUCCCGGCAGUUUCUACAUGGUCUGGAGGAGCCCGUUAUCCAGGCUGAGUCAGGAAGGAGGAAGGAGAAAGGAGAUGGGGGUUCGAGGGGCACACGCAGAUCAGAGCCUUGGAGUCAGAAAUGAGCACUCGGAGCGGGAGAUGCCCUGCUGCUGCUUGCCACCGGUGCGGCCCGUUUGUAACUUGCAAAGUUUGUUGCUUUUGCCCCUGAUUCGGGCAGCGGGUCCUGGGAUGCUCCUGCUUCCCUCCUGCCUCCCACGGAGCCCGGGAAGAGGGUCUGCCUCCCCAUCCCGCCACCUUCCAGCAUCAGCCUCUGAAAAAUCUCACAGAGACAUGCACGUUGUAGCAAAAAUCAAAUCCGGAAACUGCUUGUUUCAGAGAAAGAAAUGAAGUUGUCUUUUAAAGAAAAACUGAAUUAGGAGGAGAGAAAAGGGAAAUAGGAGAAGAAAGGAAAAGUUAAAUUUGAUUUUUCUCCAGAGUUUCCACUAAAGGGUUGGGGACAGUGUGAAGGAGAAGGGGAGCUUUUUACAAAUGCCUUUGGUCUCUGAACUUCAGUGGCAAAGAACAGGGAUCAAGUUGAAUGUUCUCAGGGCUUUGGAUCCUAGAGGAGAAACAAUCAGAAGAGCAGAAAUGGUUAUCCCUGUUUAAAAUAAGCCCUCACUCUUUACCACUUCCUUAAAGGAGUGGAGGUGCUGGUAGUGAUGGUUAGAGGCAAUGAGGGACGGAGAAGUUGCUCCCGUUUCAGAGAUGCUUAAAUG
rnacentral:lncRNA from 1 species